rnacentral:rRNA from 1 species
UAGCGUAGGGGGCAAGCGUUGUCCGGAUUCAUUGGGCGUAAAGAGCGUGUAGGCGGCCAGGCAGGUCCGCUGUGAAAACUCGAGGCUCAACCUCGAGAUGUCGGUGGAAACCGUCUGGCUCGAGUCCGGAAGAGGAGUGUGGAAUUCCUGGUGUAGCGGUGAAAUGCGCAGAUAUCAGGAGGAACACCAAUGGCGAAGGCAGCACUCUGGGACGUGACUGACGCUGAGACGCGAAAGCGUGGGGAGCAAACGGG